rnacentral:rRNA from 3 species
GCAAGGUUAACCGUAUAGGGGAGCCGUAGGGAAACCGAGUCUUAACCGGGCGUUAAGUUGCAGGGUAUAGACCCGAAACCCGGUGAUCUAGCCAUGGGCAGGUUGAAGGUUGGGUAACACUAACUGGAGGACCGAACCGACUAAUGUUGAAAAAUUAGCGGAUGACCUGUGGCUGGGGGUGAAAGGCCAAUCAAACCGGGAGAUAGCUGGUUCUCCCCGAAAGCUAUUUAGGUAGCGCCUCGUGAAUUCAUCUCCGGGGGUAGAGCACUGUUUCGGCUAGGGGGCCAUCCCGGCUUACCAACCCGAUGCAAACUGCGAAUACCGGAGAAUGUUAUCACGGGAGACACACGGCGGGUGCUAACGUCCGUCGUGAAGAGGGAAACAACCCAGACCGCCAGCUAAGGUCCCAAAGUCAUGGUUAAGUGGGAAACGAUGUGGGAAGGCCCAGACAGCCAGGAUGUUGGCUUAGAAGCAGCCAUCAUUUAAAGAAAGCGUAAUAGCUCACUGGUCGAGUCGGCCUGCGCGGAAGAUGUAACGGGGCUAAACCAU